rnacentral:rRNA from 1 species
AUGAUCGGCUACCUCGACAUUGACAUUAAUGGCUACGUCUACAGCAACUCAUCGGCAACAACUCCAGUCAACAGCAUACGCGUCGUCACUAGCGUCCACGCCACUCCCGCUGUGAUUGCGGGAGGGAAUAGAGGAGAAGGCAGGAAGGCACCAGAAGGGGAUGGAGUCACCGCCCUAGGUGCCGACCCAUCAGAGACGCAGUUGAUGAUGGCGAGGCGGAGAAGACGACGAAAGCACAAGAGUUCAAAUUCAGUCGUCAUCGUCCGCUUCACUCCCGCUACGACUGAGGGGGAAUGUUAG